UGGGGAAUUUUGGACAAUGGGCGAAAGCCUGAUCCAGCAAUGCCGCGUGCGUGAAGAAGGCCUUCGGGUUGUAAAGCACUUUUGUCCGGAAAGAAAUCCUUGGCUCUAAUACAGUCGGGGGAUGACGGUACCGGAAGAAUAAGCACCGGCUAACUACGUGCCAGCAGCCGCGGUAAUACGUAGGGUGCAAGCGUUAAUCGGAAUUACUGGGCGUAAAGCGUGCGCAGGCGGUUUGCUAAGACCGAUGUGAAAUCCCCGGGCUCAACCUGGGAACUGCAUUGGUGACUGGCAGGCUAGAGUAUGGCAGAGGGGGGUAGAAUUCCACGUGUAGCAGUGAAAUGCGUAGAGAUGUGGAGGAAUACCGAUGGCGAAGGCAGCCCCCUGGGCCAAUACUGACGCUCAUGCACGAAAGCGUGGGGAGCAAACAGGAUUAGAUACCCUGGUAGUCCACGCCCUAAACGAUGUCAACUAGUUGUUGGGGAUUCAUUCCUUAGUAACGUAGCUAACGCGUGAAGUUGACCGCCUGGGGAGUAC
rnacentral:rRNA from 1 species